GAGUAAUACCGGAUGCUUGAUUGAACCGCAUGGUUCAAUUAUAAAAGGUGGCUUUUAGCUACCACUUACAGAUGGACCCGCGGCGCAUUAGCUAGUUGGUGAGGUAACGGCUCACCAAGGCAACGAUGCGUACCCAACCUGAGAGGGUGAUCGGCCACACUGGGACUGAAACACGGCCCAAACUCCUACGGGAGGCAGCAGUAGGGAAUCUUCCGCAAUGGACAAAAGUCUGACGGACCACCGACCGCGGGAGUGAUGAAGGUUUUCGGAUCGUAAAACUCUGUUGUUAGGGAAAAACAAGUACCGUUCGAAUAGGGCGGUACCUUGACGGUACCUAACCAAAAAGCCACGGCUAACUACGUGCCAGCAGCCGCGGUAAUACGUAGGUGGCAAGCGUUGUCCGCAAUUAUUGGGCGUAAAGCGCGCGCAGGCGGUUUCUUAAGUCUGAUGUGAAAGCCCCCGGCUCACCCGGGGAGGGUCAUUGGAAACUGGGGAACUUGACUGCAAAAAAGGAGAGUGGAAUUCCACGUGUAGCGGUGAAAUGCGUAAAGAUGUGGAGGACCACCAGUGGCGAAGGCGACUCUCUGGUCUGUAACUGACGCUGAGGCGCGAAAGCGUGGGGAGCGAACAGGAUUAGAUACCCCUGGUAGUCCACGCCGUUAAACGAUGUGUGCUAAGUGUUAGAGGGUUUCCGCCCUUUUAGUGCUGCAGCAAACGCAUUAAGCACUCCGCCUGGGGAGUACGGUCGCAAGACUGAAACUCAAAGGAAUUGACGGGGGGCCCGCACAAGCGGUGGAGCAUGUGGAGAAUUCA
rnacentral:rRNA from 1 species